rnacentral:rRNA from 1 species
UACGAAGGGGGCUAGCGUUGUUCGGAAUUACUGGGCGUAAAGCGCGCGUAGGCGGUGAUCCAUGUCAGGGGUGAAAUCCCGGGGCUUAACUCCGGAAUUGCCUUUGAAACGGGAUCGCUAGAGUCCGAGAGAGGAUGGCGGAAUUCCUAGUGUAGAGGUGAAAUUCGUAGAUAUUAGGAAGAACACCGGUGGCGAAGGCGGCCAUCUGGCUCGGUACUGACGCUCAGGCGCGACAGCGUGGGGAUCAAACAGG